rnacentral:rRNA from 1 species
AGAGUUUGAUCAUGGCUCAGGACGAACGCUGGCGGCGUGCCUAAUACAUGCAAGUCGAGCGAGCAGAACCAGCAGAUUUACUUCGGUAAUGACGCUGGGGACGCGAGCGGCGGAUGGGUGAGUAACACGUGGGGAACCUGCCCCAUAGUCUGGGAUACCACUUGGAAACAGGUGCUAAUACCGGAUAAGAAAGCAGAUCGCAUGAUCAGCUUAUAAAAGGCGGCGUAAGCUGUCGCUAUGGGAUGGCCCCGCGGUGCAUUAGCUAGUUGGUAAGGUAACGGCUUACCAAGGCGAUGAUGCAUAGCCGAGUUGAGAGACUGAUCGGCCACAUUGGGACUGAGACACGGCCCAAACUCCUACGGGAGGCAGCAGUAGGGAAUCUUCCACAAUGGACGCAAGUCUGAUGGAGCAACGCCGCGUGAGUGAAGAAGGUUUUCGGAUCGUAAAGCUCUGUUGUUGGUGAAGAAGGAUAGAGGUAGUAACUGGCCUCUAUUUGACGGUAAUCAACCAGAAAGUCACGGCUAACUACGUGCCAGCAGCCGCGGUAAUUC